UACGUAGGGGGCAAGCGUUGUCCGGAAUUAUUGGGCGUAAAGCGUGCGUAGGCGGCGCAGUGUGUCGUGCGUGAAAUCUCCCGGCUUAACUGGGAGGGGCCGUGCGAAACUGCUGGGCUUGAGGUCGGAAGGGGAAAGUGGAAUUCCGGGUGUAGUGGUGGAAUACGUAGAUAUCCGGAGGAACACCAGCGGCGAAGGCGGCUUUCUGGUCCGAUACUGACGCUGAGGUGCGAAAGCGUGGGGAGCGAUCCGG
rnacentral:rRNA from 1 species